rnacentral:lncRNA from 1 species
GACUCAGUCAGAAACUUCUCUGUGCUGUCCCCAUCAAGACAGGGCAGACCUUGGGGCCUUGGAACUUCCUGUUGCACUGCUGGGAACUCAGGUGGUCACUUGGCUUCCUCCUGGGCAAGGACAUUCCCCCAAGGACACAGUCACUAUCUGGUCCGAAUCAACUAGACCUCUUGCCUUCUGUGGACUCUGCAGCCCCUUAUCUUGUUUAUUUUUGAGGCCACUUCUCACUCUGACCUUGAACUUUCCUCUCUGCUACACCUUCCAGGAGCAUCCUGUCUCAUCUGGGUCAAAACACACACACCCCAUCUUGGCUGGAUUUUUCUGCUAACACUUUUCUUCCCUUAUUUUUACUGUUAUUAUUUUUACUUUUGAGACAGGGACUCACUAUGCAGCCUUGGCUGUCCUCAAACUCAUAGUACCCGCCCACCUCUGCUUCUCAAAUGCGGCCG